CGAUAAACUCAUGCUAUCAUUUUAAAAAUUCACUGACAGCAGAACUAUGAGACGUCAUUCAGAGAAAGGAUCAGAAUCCAAAAUAUAGUUUUUCCAGUGCAGCGGAUGAAAGGAAGCUUCACUCUCGUACUUAUUUUCUUUGCAAGUCAAACUGAGGACGUCACUGAAGAUCUGCUUUCUCCUCAUGUUCAGCUGAUGAUAAGACUAACACUUGAAAAAUGCUGUAAAGUGAGAAUGUGUUUCUUAGUUUGUGAGACAUGCACUAACAAGCACAGCACUGUGUUUACAUGAAGUAUGACAGAAGCCAAGAAUAUUUCUGAGUAAAUAUGAUAGGAUCUGUUACAUUUGUCUUCAUUGUUCAGUGGUUUAACUGAAGUGUUAACUGUGAUGAUAAAGUGUUUAUAGUCUUAAA